rnacentral:piRNA from 1 species
AAAGUCGAAAACACACAACAUGGCGGAC